rnacentral:rRNA from 1 species
GAUGAACGCUGGCGGCGUGCUUAACACAUGCAAGUCGAACGGACAGGCCCUGCUUUUGUGGGGUGCACGAGUGGCGAACGGGUGAGUAACACGCGAGUAACCUGCCCUUGACUUAGGGAUAACUCCAGGAAACUGCGGCUAAUACCGGAUAGGAGCUCCUGCUGCAUGGUGGGGGUUGGAAAGUUUCGGCGGUUGGGGCUGGACUCGCGGCUUAUCAGCUUGUUGGUGGGGUAGUGGCUUACCAAGGCUUUGACGGGUAGCCGGCCUGGGAGGGUGACCGGCCACAUUGGGACUGAGAUACGGCCCAGACUCCUACGGGACGCAGCAGUGGGGAAUAUUGCACAAUGGGCGGAAGCCUGAUGUAGCAGCGCCGCGUGCGGGAUGACGGCCUUCGGGUUGUAAACCGCUUUCGCCUGUGACGAAGCGUGAGUGACGGUAAUGGGUAAAGAAGCACCGGCUAACUACGUG